GGUACAGCAUCCUCAGAAUGUCUUCAAGUAUCCACGGCCUCUUUAGUCUCUCCAGACCGUCUUUCCUCACAGCUCCACGGCUGCAUCUCCGUGGGCACGCAAGCUUCCCCUGGUUACCUGAGCUGCUCCUGCCGUCUCCCGCCUGGGCUUCGCCGUGGUGCACCCGAUCCCGGAAUCGUGCGUCUGCGCCCUGCGAAAGAAGGACCUGCUGGCGGAGCUCCGGCCGGGGUCUCCUGCCUCGCAGCUGGGCGAGGGGACUUGGAGGACAGGGUGAAGCUGCAGAAGACCUGGGGUGGGAUGGCUAGAGAGGACGCCAAGGACUGGGGAAGGGGAAGUUAGGAAUACCUUACAUCCAAUGCCCACCCGUGCUCCGCAGGGCAAGGGCAGCCGUCGCCUCGGCCGCGUGCACCCAGCUCAGGCUGUUCCCAGGGAUUUAGUCUGGGGGGACAACCCAUGGCGAGAUGUGGUGGCAUUUUACCUCAGAGUGGAGCUGAAGAUGGAUAAACAAGGUAUCUGAUGUAUCUGCCUGAGAAGGCAGAGCUGGAGAAAGGCGGAGCGAGGGAGCGCGUGAAAAGAAAGAGAUGCCGAAUGCCGGGUGAUUGUCUGCCGCUUGCUGUGCAUUCUCAUUCUAGGGAGGAUGGCAUAAUUUAUAACCCAGCACAUGGAUAGAGGAACUGUAAAUUGUAGUCUGGAUGUCCCCGGCGCUGUCGACGAAGGAACUGAUGGGCUAGGUGACUGUACCAGUGUCCCCAGAGAAAAUCGCAGCCUCGCAGCAUGGAUUUAAAUGCAUGUGCAUGCAUGUAGAGACAUGAAAAAAGGUUUCUGACCAUUUUACACAGGAAGUCUGUCACUUUGCUGGAUCGGGCUUGAUUGCAGCUUGUGUUUUCAGCUCCAGUUCAACACCCAUUUCCUGACUAGUGAGACAGCAUGGCCAAAGCAGCUGCAUGCAGAAUUUUCUUUUUACUGUGAAAGCAAGCCCCCUCUGUUUUAACUCCUUCCAGUUCUGAAUGCUCUGUGCUUUGCUAGGACCGAUUGUGGGGUUUUGUUUUCUUCUUCUACAAAUCCCUGUAAACACAGCUGUAUUCAGUAAUGGCAAAAAAAUUCUAUCCUGUAAAUAGAAAUCUGAUCAAUUUAAUCAAAAUAAAUGUAUCCCA
rnacentral:lncRNA from 1 species